GACGAACCGUGCGAACGUUGUUCGGAUUCACUGGGCUUAAAGGGCGCGUAGGCGGGUGCUCAAGUCCGGGGUGAAAUCCUCCAGCUCAACUGGAGAACUGCCUCGGAUACUGGGUGUCUCGAGUGUGGUAGGGGUAUGCGGAACUAUCGGUGGAGCGGUGAAAUGCGUUGAUAUCGAUAGGAACUCCGGUGGCGAAGGCGGCAUACUGGACCACUACUGACGCUGAUGCGCGAAAGCCAGGGGAGCAAACGGG
rnacentral:rRNA from 1 species